UACGUAGGUGGCAAGCGUUGUCCGGAAUUACUGGGUGUAAAGGGCGUGUAGGCGGGACGGCAAGUCAGAUGUGAAAUACCUCGGCUUAACUGGGGUGCUGCAACUGAAACUGUCGUUCUUGAGUGUCGGAGAGGAAAGUGGAAUUCCCAGUGUAGCGGUGAAAUGCGUAGAGAUUGGGAGGAAUACCGAAGGCGAAGGCAGUCUUCCAAGCCGUUAUUGACGCUCAACUGCGAAGGUGUGGGUAUCAAACAGGAUUAGAUACCCCGGUAGUCCCUGAG
rnacentral:rRNA from 1 species